GUGCUCAGUUUGGAAGCACAUAUACUAUAAUUUAAAUGAUACAGAGAAGUUUGGCAUUGCCUCUGUGUAAGGAUGACAUAAAUUCAUCAAGUCUUGCACAUAUUU